rnacentral:rRNA from 1 species
AGCGAACGCUGGCGGCAGGCUUAACACAUGCAAGUCGAACGGGCACUUCGGUGUCAGUGGCAGACGGGUGAGUAACACGUGGGAACGUACCUUUUGGUUCGGAACAACACAGGGAAACUUGUGCUAAUACCGGAUAAGCCCUUACGGGGAAAGAUUUAUCGCCGAAAGAUCGGCCCGCGUCUGAUUAGCUAGUUGGUGAGGUAAUGGCUCACCAAGGCGACGAUCAGUAGCUGGUCUGAGAGGAUGAUCAGCCACAUUGGGACUGAGACACGGCCCAAACUCCUACGGGAGGCAGCAGUGGGGAAUAUUGGACAAUGGGCGCAAGCCUGAGCCAGCCAUGCCGCGUGAGUGAUGAAGGCCUAGGGUUGUAAAGCUCUUUUGUGCGGGAAGAUAAUGACGGUACCGCAAGAAUAAGCCCCGGCUAACUUCGUGCCAGCAGCCGCAGUAA